rnacentral:rRNA from 1 species
GAUGAACGCUGGCGGCGUGCCUAAUACAUGCAAGUCGAGCGAACAGACGAGGAGCUUGCUCCUCUGACGUUAGCGGCGGACGGGUGAGUAACACGUGGAUAACCUACCUAUAAGACUGGGAUAACUUCGGGAAACCGGAGCUAAUACCGGAUAAUAUAUUGAACCGCAUGGUUCAAUAGUGAAAGACGGUUUUGCUGUCACUUAUAGAUGGAUCCGCGCCGCAUUAGCUGGUUGGUAAGGUAACGGCUUUCCAAGGGAACGAUGCGUAGCCGACCUGAGAGGGGGGUCGGCCACACUGGAGGGGAGACACGGUCCAUGCUCCUACGGGAGGCAGCAGUAGGGAAUCUUCCGCAAUGGGCGAAAGCCUGACGGAGCAACGCCGCGUGAGUGAUGAAGGUCUUCGGAUCGUAAAACUCUGUUAUUAGGGAAGAACAAAUGUGUAAGUAACUAUGCACGUCUUGACGGUACCUAGUCAGAAAGCCACGGCUAACUACGUG